GAUCCUGGCUCAGGAUGAACGCUGGCGGCGUGCUUAACACAUGCAAGUCGAGCGAAGCACUUUACUUGGAUUUCUUCGGAAUGACAAGUAUUGUGACUGAGCGGUGGACGGGUGAGUAACGCGUGGGUAACCUGCCUCAUACAGGGGGAUAACAGUUAGAAAUGACUGCUAAUACCGCAUAAGACCACAGCACCGCAUGGUGCAGGGGUAAAAACUCCGGUGGUAUGAGAUGGGCCCGCG
rnacentral:rRNA from 1 species